CCUGAUUGGUUGUGAGGCAGACGCUGCUCCCCCGUGUCGUUCAGGAGCCCAAACAAAGUUAGCGUGCUACAAUAUCGGACAGUAGAAACCAACCAGAAAGUACGGAAAAUUGUCUGAAUCCUCCUUUGGCCACGACUGCCGACACAAGCAAGAAAACAAAGUAAAUACCGGAGACUCUGGAGGAAUAACGGGCGCUUAAAACGGAGGUAGACCAGACAAGAGCUAAAAAGCCGGGUCAACAUAAACGAUGGGGGACGCUUGGGGAUCUUGGUGACCCUGUAACCUUUCUGCUGGACAGGUAAACCGCUUUAACAAAGUAAGACAAGUGUCUGUAACAGAAGUGUUUCUUGUCAAACGGGACUU